GCUGGGCGUGGUGGCAGUGCCUGUAGUCCCAGCUGCUUGGGAGUCUGAAGCAGGGAAUUUGAAUUUGGGUUUGGGAAUUCUAGGCUGUAGUGCCGAUCUAUGUUGAGCAUCUAUGCCGAUCUAUGCCGAUCUAAGUUGAGCAUCAGUAUGGUGACCUCUGUGGAGUGGGGCACCACCAGGUUGCCUAAAGAGGGGUAAACUGGCCUAAGUUGGAAACAGCACAAGUCAAAACUCCUAUGCUGAUAAGUAGUGGGAUCAAGCCUGUGAAUAGCCACUGGAUUCCAGCUGGGCAACAUAGAUAGACCCUGUCUCUU
rfam:Homo sapiens chromosome 11, GRCh38 reference primary assembly.